GAUCAAGAGACUGAGUCGGGGAAGCCGUUGGAGAGGUGGGGGUUUGGCUCCAUGUGCGGUUCUUUUCGUGGCUCGAGUGGGACAGCGACGGAAGGGCUGGCCCGGGAGGUGGGGAGUUCCCCAUUCGCAGGCGCAGGGACCAGCCUCUCGAGCGGUGGGUUCCGGGCAUGGUAGCAGGCCAGGAGCACAAGGUCAUUUCUGGAUCAUUCUACCACCACGGCCCUGCCUCGUGUCCGGCCUCGGGAGCAGGACCUCAGGGGACCACCGCCGUCUUCCUCAAAUACAAAUGUCCUCAUAGGGUUUCAUCCCAGCUUUACCCCAGCGUUAGUCCUUACCACCCCUGGGCUGAGAUGGGGCCCGGGCAUCUGCAUUUCUAACCCAUUCCGGGUCGUGGUCCUCGGGCCUGACUGUGGGGACCCGAGCGUAGGUGCCCCGACUUCCGGGAAUGCCCGUCUGACAGGUGCGUCCGUCCCUGUGCCCACUGCACCCCCCACGCCCCCCCAGCCCUCCCUGGGACAGCCAUCCCCGCGCGUCCACCCCUGCGGCCCCUAGAUCGAGAGGUCGGCUUUCCCACCGUGGCCCCCGGGAAUCCUCGGCCUCAGCCACGGCGGACGCCAUGAGCACUUUGGGGGGCCAGGACCCGGAGCUGACGGACAUCAGUUUAGAGUCACGACGUGAAAAAGCAGCGAAACGCAGGAGCGGCUUGGCCAGCGGCGCCUCCCAGCAGAACUUUCGAAGCAGCAGUUCCCGAAGUGGGGUGCCCAGCGGCUCCUGGGAAAUUGCCCGUGACCUCUGGGAUCACGCAUCGGAGUGGGGUCUGGAACGUGGGGAUUCCGGUGCCUCCGAUGUGAGACCCUGGCUUGGGUGGGGGUCCCCGACGGCGGCUGCGUGCUGGGCUCACCCGGGAGCCUGGGAAGCACCGGACGUCCUUGCCUGGCCACCCAUUCCGAUGGCAGCGGCUCUGCUGGGGCCGCCCGGGGCUCCCGCGCCCUUUGCGCUGGCGGGAGGGGCGGGCAGGUACCUGCCAUCGGGACUGUUCAACAAAGAGGGGGAGGUGGCCACAGGCGGGGGGGCGCAGGGGUGAUCUGGAAGAGAAACCGGCCUGCAAGCAGGAGGCCGGGCAAGAGCGGUGGCCGCGCGGCCCCUGGUCACCAGCGUGGCUGUGAUUGGCGGAGCACCUGCUGCCCGGGAGGCGGCCGUGGCCCUCUAAGUAGCCGCUGGAGGAGGCUUUCAGCUGCCAUCAGAGCAGGCCCGGGCGGAGGGGUAGCACAGAAGAGGCGUUGCCGUGGCGACACGAGGACGUAGAGGUGGCGGUGGUACCAGAGCAGCCUUUGACCUUGGCCACCUCUUGGACUUUCUCCCAUCCCUGCUCUUUCCCUGGGCCGUCCCCAGGCCUGCGGGGACACCCAGUUCUCGGGGACCUCCUGUGUGCACCCCCCCUCCUCCCUCUGGAGGCCAGGAGCCCUAAGAAAUAAGUUUCACCAGGAGGCUUAGAGGAAACCGGGGCCCAUUUCUUCUAAUCAAUUUUAUUGGAACAUAUUAUAAUAAUAAAGCAUAAAUCCAUCUAAAGUGUGCAAACAAUGGUAUUCAGUGUAAUCACAUAGUUGUGCAUUCAUCACUUCGAUCGUUCUUAAAGCAGUUUCAUUAUUCCAGUAACAAUAAAAAACAAACAAAACUCAUUACCUCUC
rnacentral:lncRNA from 1 species